UACGUAGGGUGCAAGCGUUGUCCGGAAUUAUUGGGCGUAAAGAGCUCGUAGGCGGUCUGUCGCGUCGGCUGUGAAAACCCGGAGCUCAACUCCGGGCCUGCAGUCGAUACGGGCAGACUGGAGUUCGGCAGGGGAGACUGGAAUUCCUGGUGUAGCGGUGAAAUGCGCAGAUAUCGGGAGGAACACCGGUGGCGAAGGCGGGUCUCUGGGCCGAUACUGACGCUGAGGAGCGAAAGCUAGGGGAGCAAACGGG
rnacentral:rRNA from 1 species